UGUGUGUGUAGUGUGUGUAUAUAAUGCAGUGUGUUUGUGUAGUGUGUUUAUAUAAUGCACACUACACAAACACACUGCAUUAUAUACACACACUAUACAAAC
rnacentral:miRNA from 1 species